UGCAAGUGAUGAACUUUCCUUGUGAAGGAAACAUGAAAAAUGUACAAAACCCAAUUUAAGUGUAUAUUGAAGUACACAUCUCAAAAUCUGUCACAUUUUUGAGGGCCUGAGGACUGUGUCACUUUGGAAUCAGAAUACAGAGUGAGCAAUAACAAUUCAUUCCGCUUUCACUUUGAGACAAAUGACAAGGAAAGGAGAGCAUACAAUCAAGAGCAGGAAAGCUGAACUGAAAACCUGUGGGGAUGUGGAAAAUUCCAAAAGACACUUUUACCAUGUAGAUUGAUUCUUCUAAUUAAUCUUAAUUUUCCUUUGUAAAAUAUAAAAGGGGAUCUACCCUUCCCUUCAUAGGAAACAGCUGUUCCUUACAUUAGUCCAAAGAAAAACAUAAUUUAAGUACUGUUCAUUUUUUGACACCCCCACCUCUGCCAGUAAGUAAUUUAUUGUUUGUUUGUUUUCCAUAAAGCUGAAUGAAUUAAGGUAGUUCAGUGUUUGUGAUAAAAAUAAAAGGAUGCACACACACACAUGCAGAGUCUCCACAGAUAGCUUACAGACCAUGUUAGGAAACAACAGUUUAAGUGAAAAACAUCCUGCGUACCAACAUUCAAUACUUGAAGACAGUGAAUCACUUUAUAGGGCAAAUUUUACUUAGCCUCAUAGCCCUCAGUCAUCUUCACUACCUUAGGCUACUGAAACAAAAGUCACUGCUACGGUAUUAUCUGAACUUAAGAAAAUUAGAAUUGCACACGUUUUUACCUCCAGUGUAAAUGAAUAAAAUCUUGGACUGUGAUCUA